rnacentral:rRNA from 1 species
CCCUUAGAUGUUCUGGGCCGCACGCGUGCUACACUGAGUGGAUCAGCGGGUCAGGUUGCGCGAAAGCGUUUCCUAAUCUUUAAAUCCGCUCGUGAUGGGGAUUGACGGUUGCAAUUUUCUGUCAUGAACGAGGAAUACCUUGUAAGCGCGGGUCAUCAUCCCGCGCUGAAUACGUCCCUGCCCUUUGUACACACCGCCCGUCGCUCAUACCGAUUGAGUGGUCCGGUGAGGCUUUGGGAUCUGAGCGGAAAGAGCGUUUCGCUGUUUCUGCUCGGAAAACUCAGUCGAACCUUAUCAUUUAGAGGAAGGAGAAGUCGUAACA